AGUGAACGCUGGCGGCAGGCCUAAUACAUGCAAGUCGAACGGCAGCACAGCAGAGCUUGCUCUGUGGGUGGCGAGUGGCGGACGGGUGAGGAAUACGUGGGAAUCUGCCCAGUCGUGGGGGAUAACGUAGGGAAACUUACGCUAAUACCGCAUGCGCCCUUCGGGGAAAGCCGGGGACCUUCGGGCCUGGCGCGAUUGGAUGAGCCCACGUCGGAUUAGCUAGUUGCGGGUAAAGGCCACCAAGGCGACGAUCCGUAGCUGGCUGAGAGGAUGAUCAGCCACACUGGAACUGAGACACGGUCCAGACUCCUACGGGAGGCAGCAGUAGGGAAUAUUGGACAAUGGGCGCAAGCCUGAUCCAGCCAUGCCGCGUGAGUGAAGAAGGCCCUC
rnacentral:rRNA from 1 species